rnacentral:rRNA from 1 species
AUUGAACGCUGGCGGCAGGCCUAACACAUGCAAGUCGAGCGGAUGAAGGGAGCUUGCUCCUGGAUUCAGCGGCGGACGGGUGAGUAAUGCCUAGGAAUCUGCCUGGUAGUGGGGGAUAACGUCCGGAAACGGGCGCUAAUACCGCAUACGUCCUGAGGGAGAAAGUGGGGGAUCUUCGGACCUCACGCUAUCAGAUGAGCCUAGGUCGGAUUAGCUAGUUGGUGGGGUAAAGGCCUACCAAGGCGACGAUCCGUAACUGGUCUGAGAGGAUGAUCAGUCACACGGGAACUGAGCCACGGUCCAGACCCCUAGGGGAGGCAGCGGUGGGGAUUAUGGGACAAUGGCGAAAGCCUGAUCCAGCCAUGCCGCGUGUGUGAAGAAGGUCUUCGGAUUGUAAAGCACUUUAAGUUGGGAGGAAGGGCAGUAAGUUAAUACCUUGCUGUUUUGACGUUACCAACAGAAUAAGCACCGGCUAACUUCGUG